rnacentral:rRNA from 1 species
CUACGGGAGGCACCAGUGAGGAAUAUUGGUCAAUGGGCGAGAGCCUGAACCAGCCAUCCCGCGUGCAGGAUGACGGCCCUAUGGGUUGUAAACUGCUUUUCUAUACCAAGAAACCUGAUUACGUGUAAUUAGUUGCCGGUAGUAUGGGAAUAAGCAUCGGCUAACUCCGUGCCAGCAGCCGCGGUAAGACGGAGGAUGCAAGCGUUAUCCGGAUUCAUUGGGUUUAAAGGGUGCGCAGGUGGGCUUGUAAGUCAGUGGUGAAAUGUUGCCGCUUAACGGUAAAAUUGCCAUUGAUACUGCAAGUCUUGAAUAUAGUUGAGGUAGGCGGAAUGUGUUGUGUAGCGGUGAAAUGCAUAGAUAUGACACAGAACACCGAUUGCGAAGGCAGCUUACUAAGCUAUUAUUGACGCUGAGGCACGAAAGCGUGGGGAUCGAACAGGAUUAGAUACCCUCGUAGUC